UACGGAGGGUGCGAGCGUUGUCCGGAAUCACUGGGCGUAAAGGGCGCGUAGGCGGUCUGCUAAGCGUGUGGUGAAAGCUCGGGGCUCAACCCCGAGUCUGCCAUGCGAACUGGUGGACUUGAGCACUGUAGAGGCAGGUGGAAUUCCGGGUGUAGCGGUGGAAUGCGUAGAGAUCCGGAAGAACACCAGUGGCGAAGGCGGCCUGCUGGGCAGUUGCUGACGCGAGGCGCGACAGCGUGGGGAGCAAACAGG
rnacentral:rRNA from 1 species